AAGACACAGAGCAGGGGCACAGCCAGCAUGUUGCUGCUGAGUGACUUCUGUGUCCCACAGCUGCGUUGGGGCAUUUUCUCAGCAGACUGUAGAACAUCUUGAGGUCUGAGCUCUGGGCCAAGGAGUGCCGCAGAUGGGCAGAGAUUUGCGGAGUCAGUUCUGGAAGUCACCGGCAGAUGAGAACACUGAGGCACAGGAAGGAGGAGCAACGUGCUGAAGAGCAAAGAGCUGUCUAGGCGUGAGACUGGCAUUCAAGAAGCACAGAAAUGAACAUACAAGCACAAAUGGAGUCAGUGCUGUGAAGAGGACGUGUGCUGCGAUGAAGAAACGGAGGCUCUAACAGGCUCGAUGGAUUGCCUGAAGCCACAUGGAUACCAAGGGGAGGAAGAACUGAACCUACAUCACCCAGUGCGGCAGCCGCUGGCCACGUGUGGCUCCCAAGCACUUGGAAUGUGGCCAGAGUCAACUGAGCUGUGCUGUACGUGGAAAACAACAGGCCAGAUUUCAGACUUAGCUCUAAACAAACAAACAAAAAGCAUAUUUAAU